rnacentral:lncRNA from 1 species
CUAUUCCAAGCACAGAUCUCCUUCCCCCUUCUCUCCUAAAAGUUCUGCCUGAACUUUGGCUGUGUGCGCAUGAUAAAGACUACUAUAUUUACAGCUGUGCUUUGGAUGGUCUAUGAUUAUACUGACCUUUGCAUGUAACCUUGUUUUCCCUGAGGUUACAAAUCUUCCUCUUUUGUUUCCUUAGUUUCCUAUGUAUCUAUCAAGAGUUCAGCACCAAACCCUGACAGAGUUCUUUCCCCGUAAUUUCUUGGGACCGGAAGAGCAGGUGAAAGCACGUGUCCCCCACCUACCUUAGCCUGACAUCUGAUGGGUGCUCAAUACAUGGAACCAGCCAUCAGCCCCUCCAGGCCCUCCUGCUGCACCCC